UACGUAGGCGGCAAGCGUUAUCCGGAAUUAUUGGGCGUAAAGAGCGCGCAGGUGGUUAAUUAAGUCUGAUGUGAAAGCCCACGGCUUAACCGUGGAGGGUCAUUGGAAACUGGUUGACUUGAGUGCAGAAGAGGGAAGUGGAAUUCCAUGUGUAGCGGUGAAAUGCGUAGAGAUAUGGAGGAACACCAGUGGCGAAGGCGGCUUCCUGGUCUGCAACUGACACUGAGGCGCGAAAGCGUGGGGAGCAAACAGG
rnacentral:rRNA from 1 species